rnacentral:rRNA from 1 species
GACGAACGCUGGCGGCGUGCUUAACACAUGCAAGUCGAACGGAAAGGCCCUGCUUUUGUGGGGUGCUCGAGUGGCGAACGGGUGAGUAACACGUGAGUAACCUGCCCUUGACUUUGGGAUAACUUCAGGAAACUGGGGCUAAUACCGGAUAGGAGCUCCUGCUGCAUGGUGGGGGUUGGAAAGUUUCGGCGGUUGGGGAUGGACUCACGGCUUAUCAGCUUGUUGGUGGGGUAGUGGCUUACCAAGGCUUUGACGGGUAGCCGGCCUGAGAGGGUGACCGGCCACAUUGGGACUGAGAUACGGCCCAGACUCCUACGGGAGGCAGCAGUGGGGAAUAUUGCACAAUGGGCGGAAGCCUGAUGCGGCAACGCCGCGUGCGGGAUGACGGCCUUCGGGUUGUAAACCGCUUUCGCCUGUGACGAAGCGUGAGUGACGGUAAUGGGUAAAGAAGCACCGGCUAACUACGUG